AUGGGGCAAUCUCUAAAUUACAAUGCAGCUAUGAAUAACAGCGGCUCUCAGGCCCUUGUUUUUGCUGGGAGCUGCGACCCGGAAUCACUGGCCUUGGGCAAUGUCAAGGGCAAAACCGUCCUUUGUUAUGCACCAGAAGAGGCAUCGCGGUGGUCGCCCCAGUUAAUACUCCCUUAUGCCAUCAAUUACACUAUUGAGGCCGGUGCAAAGGGCCUCAUCUUCGCACAAUACACCGCCAACAAUCUUGACAGCCUGGUCGGGUGCGAGGGAUUUAUGCCUUGCGCUCUGGUGGAUUUCGAGAUCGCACAUCGAAUUUUCUCCUACUGGGACAUGACUGAGAAUCCGGUGGUGAUGGUGUCUCCGGCUGUAAGUGUUGUUGGAAAUGGGGUGUUGUCGCCGAGGGUCGCCUCGUUCUCCUCCAGAGAUCCAAGCCUAUUGUUCCCUGGCAUACUGAAGCCCGACAUUACUGCUCCUGGCGUCAACAUAUUGGCAGCGGUGCGCGGCUCCUACGUGUUCUAUUCUGGGACAUCAAUGGCGUGCCCACAUGUCUCCGCAGUGACUGCGAUGCUCAAGUCGGUUCACCCUCAGUGGUCACCUGCCAUGAUCAAAUCGGCCAUCGUCACCACAGCAUAUGUGACCGAUCGUUUUGGCAUGCCAAUCCAAGCAGAAGCAGUCCCAAGGAAACUAGCCGACCCCUUCGACUUUGGUGGUGGACACAUUGACCCAAAUAGAGCCGUUGACCCUGGCUUGGUUUACGACGUUGAUGCAAGGGGGUACAACAAGUUUUUCAACUGCACCCUUGGAUAUUUAGGCGGCUGUGAGUCCUACUACCUCAAUCUCAACCUUCCGUCAAUUGCCGUGCCAGACCUCAAGGACCGUGUCAUGCUUCGGCGCACCGUGACUAACAUUGGGCCAGCGGAAGCAACAUAUCAUUUAGUGGUUGAAGCUCCAGCGGGGAUAGACGUGUCCGUAGAGCCAUCUGUGAUCAAUUUCACCCAAAGCACUAGUAAAAGUGUGACGUUUAUGGUGACAUUCACAACAAGGCAGAGAGUACAAGGAGGAUACACUUUUGGGAGCUUGACAUGGUCAGACGGAAGUACCCACUCAGUGAGAAUUCCUAUUGCGGUACGGACUGUGAUACAAGACUUUGUUGCAGAUACAUCUUAA
rnacentral:rRNA from 1 species